rnacentral:rRNA from 1 species
UGUGAUAAAUUAGUCGGGGUGUUUUAUAACUUGUUAUUGAGGAAUAAGAAUGUUAAGAUUGUGGGUGUAGAGAUCGGCAAUCAGGUAGUAAAAUAUUUUAUUUUUAUUGACAGUGGGUUUAAAAGUAACCUCUUUUAAUUGGUGUUAUAACCAUAAAUAAGAUAUAAAAUUUUCUACGGAAACUCAAUGUAACGAAACUUGUUGAUAUUACAAUAUGUUAUAAUUAGUAGUUAAAUAUUUUAUUGAUUUCUCGUUUUAAUCCGAACUGUUUAUUAAAAACAUUUCCAUAAGAAUAUUUUUAUGGUAGGACCUGCUCAAUGUUUUAUUAAUAGCCGCAGUAUCUUGACUGUGCUAAGGUAGCAUAAUUAAUUGUCUCUUAAAUAGGGAAUUGUUUGAAUGGUUGUUUUGGGUUAUAAAAUAUCUAUAAAAUGUGGACGAAAUUAGUUUAUAAGUAAAGAACCUUAUAAUAUAAUAAAAGACGGAAAGACCCCGAGAGCUUGAUUAAAUUUUAUUUGGGGCAAAGUCUUUAGUUUAAAAGAAUUUUGAACCUCUGGGGUUUAGUGGUUAAGUUACCUCGGGGAUAACAGGGUUAGAAGUAAGGAGAGUUCAUAUCGAUUUACUUAGUUGCUACCUCGAUG